AAGUUAUACAACUCGUUGCUAGAGAGAAAAGAAGGAAGAAUCUCUUUGAAACUGUAAGAGAAGAAUCGCAUGAAGAAUUGAUAACGAUGAAGAAAAAUUCCACGAAGGGUCGCCAUCUGUUAUUAGAGGAAGCUAUUAGUGUGAUGUAGGUUUAUCGAAGUUCACUCGACGAAGAUAUGAGAUAUAAUCUAAAACAAAUGUAGUUGGUUUUAUAUGCGAGAUCGGAAUUACGAUUGUUCGAUUGUUAUUGAAAUAAACUGUUAGAGGAUGAUACAGAAAUUACUUAAGGAUAAUUACUUGUAUACUUUUUAUCAUAAAUUUGGAUUAAUCAUGAGAGAGUA